CCUACGGGUGGCAGCAGUGAGGAAUAUUGGUCAAUGGACGAGAGUCUGAACCAGCCAAGUAGCGUGAAGGAUGACUGCCCUAUGGGUUGUAAACUUCUUUUAUCUGGGAAUAAAAUGUUCCACGCGUGGGCUUUUGUAUGUACCAUAUGAAUAAGGAUCGGCUAACUCCGUGCCAGCAGCCGCGGUAAUACGGAGGAUCCGAGCGUUAUCCGGAUUUAUUGGGUUUAAAGGGUGCGUAGGUGGAUUGUUAAGUCAGUUGUGAAAGUUGGCGGCUAAACCGUAGAAUUGAAGUUGAAACUGGCAGUCUUGAGUAGGGGAGAGGUGGGCGGAAUGCGGGGUGUAGCGGUGAAAUGCGUAGAUAUCACGAAGAACUCCGAUUGCGAAGGCAGUUCACUGGACUGAAACUGACGCUGAGGCGCGAAAGUGUGGGUAUCGAACAGGAGUAGAUACCCUAGUAGUC
rnacentral:rRNA from 1 species